GGUCUCGCCGAUCCGCAUCGUGCCGAAAAGAUUUGGUUUAUAACGCGACUAAUUAAGCAAGCAGCCUCCAGGAAUCCGAAUGAAUGCCAAACACUUUAAAUACCUGGGACAUGCACCUGCCAAACGACGCUCUAAUGGACAUUUCAAGGGAACAGGUUUUUUUUAAAUGCCGACCGGGCGCGUCUCCGACGUUUGGUGUGCCGAAUUCUUCAAACACACGUACCUUCACACAUACAUGCGUACUCGUAACACACGCGCAACGCGCCAAAAACUUUUGCCCAUUCAUACAAAUUUUCUAAUUCAAUUCUCUUUUCUUUCCAUUUUUUCGAAUUUCAGAUUUUUCCUUUUCUUUCGCACCGCAGCAGAAAUUACCACCGCAAUACCUCCUGUAUUCUUUGCUGGAAAUUUUUUGGUGCGAAACUUCUUUCACUCGAACUUUCGGUGUCUUUCGCAAAUUUCUUCAUUUCAAAACGAAAAAUUUUUUUAACAACAAAUUUUCUUUUUUUCCCCACCGAACCGUUUAACUUAUCGGGUUGCGAUGAGUACCACUGAAUUUAUACACGCCUGCCGGGAGAUGACUCGCCUUACCUACGCGCCACGGCGUAUCACAUUCGAAAACGGUGCGGAUACUUAAAUUUUAAUUUAUUUUUCCGAAAGGUUGAAAAUAAAUUCAAAGAAAAUAUAUGCGUAUUAAAAAAGAUCGAUUACAUCGAUGAACAUCGGUGGGCAUCGUUAUACACACGGCGGCGUUGAACUUCUGUUCCGAAUGCCGAAUCCCCCCCCCCCCGAUGCAAGUGCACAGAUAUCGGUAUGCAUUAAAAAUAGAAAUGUUAAAACAGGAAAUGCACCACACGCACGCAGGUUCCUUUUCUCGGAAAUUUUAGUCAAGCCGAUGCAACCGGCUGUGGUGUACCAGACGAUCGAAGGCAACGUGCACGUAACGGGGUGAACAUUUACAGAGAUAAAUAUCUCGUUAUGUAUCAACACAAACCAAUAAAUAUGCCUGCUGCUACGUUAUGUAUCAUUAUGCAUGGUUUGAUUCGGUUGAAAAAUAAUUAAUUGAUUAAUUUUAAGGCCCGGGCUCGCGGGAAAUGAAAGAUGGAUCGAAAAGCGCUAAUUGUAAGCUCGCUCUUCGGUCGUAACAUUUCGUAAGGGAGCCGUAUUUCAAAUUUUUCAUCUCUGAGAAGCUUGGAAAAUUGUCACAUAGCGUGCGCGCAGUUUACGCGAAAAUGAUAAGAAAGUAAUUUUGCAGCGCGCGAGAAUAGGCGGAUGUUCGAAACGUGGAAAACUCAUAGUUUGUGCGCAGCAUGGCCACUGCGAUAAUAAGUUGUACUCUACAUUCGAACAGCAAAAGAUAGAGCAAGAAAAUAGGGGGAGGAGAGAGAGAAAGAGAAAGAGGCUGGAGAUGAGGAGAGUCUGUAUUUCAAUCAGGUCGACGUUUUAAUAAAGUAACACGCUGCACUAACCGCGUUCUGUAGUUCGAACGAGAGUAUAAAGUGACCAGAAAGUUGUCGUCGCCGACAUACGUAUGCAGGUACUCGUACACUGACGCGGAGCAACAUCAAGAUCACGCAACACGUGCAAAUAGGCAUACGAACCCACAGGGUUAUACGUUGUAUACCUGCAACCUCGUAACGCAGGGAAUAUAGCUAGCAAUCGAUAUAAUUAAUCGGCGAUAGGUAAUAAAAUAUAAAAUAAUUGUGGAACCAGAGCACGGAGCUGCGAUAUGUAUAAUAUAUCCGUACAUUAUAUUACACCAAUAGAGAAGGAUAUUCCUGCCGGAGAGAGUCGCACGAUUGCGCGUACGCGCGAUUAAAAAUCGAAAACCUCAUAGCGUACGGAUCGGCGUAUACCACGAUGCGGAUUUGAAGAGGGGCGGCGGGGGAUGAAGAUGCAAUUUUUCUUCCUCCUGAUAUUGGCCGAUUGUGAGCCCGCGUGAACGCGUGAUUCGCGUGAUAGCCGUUCAACUUCAAGGACGCACAAAACCGUUGCUUGUAUACACCACGAAAUGUCGGCCGGUACAGAUAACAGUUUGAAACGGUUGCGAGACAAGAUUAUUUCAUAAUCAAAUCGGAGAGAGAGAGAAAGAUAAUAAUUUAUGCAUUACACAGAGACACGUGUGCUACGAAGUUUUCGAAAACCGUACUCGAAUCGAGGUACGAAAAUUUUUAUUUCUACGCUUGUUCGGUCGUUUUUUUAACGGGCUGAAUUUCCAUCGCCGCGUUACAGGAUGUGCAGCCACAAAUAUUCGUAAAAAAAAACAUCCGAGUAACCAAUAUGUGGGGUUGAUAUAAUGAAAAGAUGAAACAGCGCGCUUCGCAAAAUUGCGCAGGUCGACCGAGAGGAAUGAAAAUAGACUGAGAAAAAUUAAAAAUUAAAAAAAUUAGAGAAGAAAAGGAAGAAGUUGAAACAGAGGUUGUUAGGGAAUUCUUGAUGCGCGACCGUGGAGUCGAUUACCUUAUACUUCCACCCAAUGUUACAAAGUAGCGAUGCAAAAGUAUCAAAUUCACACCACGCCGCGCGGGAUGAAACGAGGUGCAAAGUUUGAUAUAAUUUCGAAAGAGCGACGGAUGGAUGAGCACGACCCGUCGCGGUUAUACCGUAAAGGUAUAGCCCAUCGCCGAAUAAGACGUUACCCGGUGUCCUCGACGCGCGUCCUUGAUGCUUGGAAAAGAUUUUCCCUUUCAAUAUCAAGGAAAAUAUCUAAAUGGGGAAAGCGAAUGGAAAAAUCGGCCGAAAUGAGAUGAGAACUAAAUAAUAUUAUCGCGAUAUCUGUGGGCCCGAUUAAAACAUUGUCUCUCAUCCCCCGUCGUGAAAUUGGAUAAGGGUCGAAAAAUUCCUAGGGGAAAAAAUCCGAAGAAGUAGAAGAAGAAGAAGAGUAAGAAGAAGAGUAAGAAGAUGGGCGUAGGACGCUCAACCCGCGCGACGCCCGAAAGGACGGCAACCAACUGGGCAGAAAUAAGGAACCGAUUUGAGCGGUGGGCCACCGAGGAACGUCGGCGAUCUCCGAUGUCACACGGACCGACCAACGUCGACGCCAACGCCAAGAUUUUUCUGUCCUGUCCACAGCGGUGGGGUAUGGCAAUGGCUCUGCGAGUCUGCCCUCUCCGCUUCGUGAGUCUCGUGUUUCGGUUUUUGGGCUUCCAUCGGGUUCCAGGAAUCGUUUGCGGGACUGCCGAUGCUCCGGUACGUUGUUCAGGACCUACUACAGCUACUCGGAAGGAAUGAUGGGGUAUGCAGGCAUCAAAAAGACCCCGAGCACAUCCUGCACCAGCAUCAACACCGGGAACUGCAGCAGCGAUGAUGAUGGGGAUAUGAAGUAACGCGAUAGCCGAUAGCACCGGAGAGACAAGACACGCACGCGGGUUUGCUGCAUUCGCACAGUUGGAAGACCUUCGAACAGCUCUUUAAUCUGCGGCAGCCUACCACCAUUACCAUGACCAUUACCAAUACUUUACCGUGGCCGAAGUAGGUACAGCACUCCGCCACUCAUCGUAUAAGAUGAAAUUUUUCAACAAUUCGCGAAACGCUCACCUCUUCUGAAGCGGGGUGUUUUGCAGGGACGUCAUCUCCGAGGUCUUGGGCGUACGUCCUCGCUGACCAGGUGAUGCGAUUUUGAAGGUUAUACAAUACCACCGUCGGCUGAGACCUUUAUGGGGAAUCCAUCGUGAUCAACGAAACGGUCGAGAGUAGCCCGGACCCGGUGCAGGACUCCGAUCUGGUCGACGUUCCCCCGUUUCUCUGCAGCGAUCUAUAGCCCCGGCAUCGCAGGCUGUUGCCGCCUCCCAGGGCAGAUCCUUGCCACGCAUUCGAACCGCAUUCCUGGCUUCUUGUGUGGCGGUGUCUGCCCCGCCGGAGGAACGGUCCCGACUGAAAGAGGGCCCAGGGCUGUUGAUGGUGUGCAUCAGGAGAAGCAGAAGAAGAAAAAGAAUAAGGAAAACAAAAAUGAAAAGGAGAAGAGGAGGGUUCGGAAAUUGGUAUAGUGGAAAUAUCAAAAUUCAAGACAAUUACAAGAAGGCCCGGACCAGUUGGAUAUCUGCGGUAUAGGAACGGGAUUCGCACACUGCAUGGGUAUAUAAUAAGAGCGGACGAAAAAGGAGAAGAGUUGAGAGAAAAAAAAAAAAAAAAAAUUAAAAAAUUAUACCGAAAAAUUUCGUUCAUUGUCAGUCUGCGAUUCCGCAGAAUUAAUGAAUAUAAUUAUCUUUAGUAUGUAGAAGUACAAUUUUGAAAAUUCUCAUGCCAAAGAUUUCCGCUAUCCGUACUGAAUUACACGUGUACACCGAUGAGAUACAAACCCAACCAAUUUGAAUCGCAGGUUUAUUGCGGAGGUUAUUUUUCAAUCGGUACGUCAUCGCGUAUAAUCAGGGCAAAGAAGGGGAAAUCUUAUAUACGGUCGUUGUUACAGUUGUUGGGUGCGGGUGGGCGCAGAGUUUGAAUUUACGAGUAACAUUUGCCGACUGUGGGUCGCGCACGUGCAGUAUAUAUAAGAUCGCUUAAUUUUAGAGUCUUUUUUAAAAAAAACUUUCGUCAAAUGAUUGAACAGCCACUAUACUACGUAAUUUAUACAAUGAUACGCGUGACUACCGAUACUGCGCGUUUCGUGUGACUGCCCGCAUUCUUUGAAACUCAAAAAUGAGAAAAAGGAAAUCGUGCGAAUUUUUUAUUUUUCAUUUUUACACGUCGGAUCGAAUAUGAAUUUGAAAAUCCUUGGAAUAUAUAUAUAUACAUUGACUUUAUUUGAAUUCUUCUUUAUCCAUCCUCGUAGCACUCACGGUCGAUCCGGUCCCCUAAUUUACUUUUUCAAUUAUUUUUCAAAUCUCGCGCACGUACUUUUUCUCUUAAUUAAGAAAAAUAUGAUUUAUGAAAAAUCAUUCAAUUGUAGAUGUAACAGCUACACCGACCUAUCCUAACUUCACUAAAGUUUAUGUGCUCCGAAACAUAUAAAAUACGCGUACUGCAAUUAUCAAUGAUUAGAUUAAAAAGUUAGCGACUAGACGAAGAAGAUUUCACACAUUAUACAUAUGAGUUACGUUCUGUUUUUCUAUAGCCUCGCGUAGUGACCUACUACGAACAAGAACUAGACACUCAAUUCAUUUCAUGUUGCAAGUUAUUUCACAUGCACAAAAAACCGAGUAGAAGAAAUAAAUAAUAUAGUCAGAAUAGGAAUAUCAAAAUUGAUGAAAUAAAAAACCAAUCAUCACUCGUGAGUUCGAAGCAUGGAUUUAUACAGUGUGCACUCAGAAAAGCCUCAAUAUGAUACAACAUAUGAUUAUACCGCACUGCACCGCAUAACAUAUUGCAACUUGUAUAGUACGCGUAUAAGCUCGCAUGUUAAAAACGAGCACCGGCGCCUAAACUUUUUUUCUUUUCUUUCUUUCUCAUUUUUCUAUUCUUCUUCUUCUUCUAUUUCUGCCCUCUAUCACGCGGCGUUUUCUAGGCUAAAAAAUAUUUCCGUGUCACUCAAGAGCUCGUGUUAAAUGUGUGUGAGUAUAUUUAUCACAUGCAUGGGUGUGCGUAUUUAUGUGCAAAGGAUAUAGUUGGUACACCGUCGUAAUACAUACAUAGUAAUACAUGAGAGGUACGUAUGCGUACGAUAUACAAAAUAUAUAUAAGUGUAUACCCUACCGCAGAUAGAACAGGGUCAGAGAUUAUAAAGUUUUAUUCCAACAGUUAAAUGAUUUGUAGACGUACGUACGUGAGCAUAGGUAUGUAUUUUGUAGCGUGCAUAUAACAUACCGAACACCACGAAGAACUAUAUGGUCUAAUAUCUACGAUACGUAUAAUUUCUGGAGCAGUUUGCCACGACGUAUGUAAUGGAUAUAAGACAAAGCUCUCACAAUAUCCUUUGAUACCAGUGCAACACGUUCAGAUAACGUAUCGCCGUUUAUAAAAUUUCUUUUUUUACUAUACAUGUGCUUGUUGGUUUGCACGUGUGGGCGAAAAAUACAUACAUCGAAGCCAGAGAAAAUGACGAAAAAUUAUUAACGUUUUUGUUCUCUUCGAACGUCGAAACAAAUCUGAGCUUUUUUCCAAUAAUCACAACUUGACACAAGGAGUGUGCAUGUCAAUUACUGUAUGUAUAGUUUAGGAGAAAAAAACAAGGAAUGAAACAGAAAAUUGUCCGACAAGUGAUAUUCAUGAGACAAGAAACAAAGUAGGUGAGAUGAACUGUUAGAUACGUCAAAUACUAUCAUCAUAGAAUAUAUUGUCUCGUUGUUUGUUUGUAUAAAUAAUGCGGUCGGUAUAUAGGUAGGUAUAUAACACAGUUAAAAGAAGAAUGAAACGGGAGAAAAUCUGAUUGUACGAAAAGGAUCGAAUUUGAAUUGUAUCGGAGAAGAGGAAGUUGUGUGUUGUCGACAAAGUAUACGUACGAGCAGUUCGUUAUUCUUUUUAUUUUUCUUUUUUAAACCCUGCCGCUGCAGUGCAGGGAAAAGAACGAAAUGAAUAAUUGAAGUUUACGGGCAUCGAUUCAAAUGUAGUGGCAUCAAACGUGUCUACGGCGGUAUUUUUUUUAUUUUUUCCAACCUAUCGAUCGAUUAAUCAAUCCUGUUUUGUUUGAUUCUAUAUCAUAUAAUAGACUGUACCUAACGCCGCGCGGACCACGCCAUCCCUUUUGGUGUUGUUACAGGCGCCUCGGCGGCGGCGCCCCGAUUCUUGUCUUAUUUUCAAAUCUCGAAUAGUAAAUGACAUCAAACGAAAAUUUUCUUUCUCUCGUUUUUUUCAAAUACAACCAACCUACCUGUAUGCAUUUAUGCAACGGGACCAUAAACGCGGCUCUUUAUAUAUUAGAUAUCUGGUAUCAGAUAUGACCUACACUUCAUUUUUUCAUCCGCGACGUAUUUGUCUUUUUCCUCUUUUCACCGUUACAGUUAUAUGAAAAUUGACUCGAUGGAAAUUCGUGCGAUUCGUCAUACUUUUUAAUACCUACUUUUCGAGUGAACGUAUACAACGUUAUGAAAAGGGCUUAUCAUUCAUUUUCACGGCCCAACAUCCGGCUACAAUUCUCUCGUUUCCGUCAUCGCGUUUACUCCCACUUAUUUUUUCUUCAUAUUCUGGGUACAUAAUCGUGAACUGCAAAAUGUGGGGGAUCCAAUUUUUCGUCCUCCAUUUCGCAAUAAUUUCCAGAUAACGAUUAUACUCGUUGAUAAAUUUUAUAUGAAUGUAUAGGUGGGUGAUACGAGUGCAGCAUCUUAUACAUUUGAGUUACGUUGAUUAUUCAAAAACACCAAUGGCAAGAAAAAAAAACAAAAAAAAUUUCACUGCACUCCAGGCUACCUGCUAGAAUAUGAUAAAUGUCGAAAAUCAUAGGGUGAGAUGAUAAUUAUUUGAAGAUAUAUUCCCAUGGUCGCGCUGCACAGAUAGGGCAAUUAUAAUCGCGCGUUGGUCAAGUAACACGAGUUGAGCGUUUAAUCUGGCGACUCUAUGAAGUGACGCAAUUUUUGUCGGAUAUAAAAAGAGCAUAAACCGAGCUUACAAUCCACGCCGGUUGAUAAACCUGAGUAAUUUUUAUACAACACAUGAGAGCCACUGACCACCGACAUCAUCCACACUGCAUGAAUGGAACGACUUCCAAGAACUGUACAGCCCGAUCAAAAGAUUCCGUUAUUAUUAAAAGCGUUUUUUAAAUGGUUACAACCCUAAAAAAAAAAAUCAUUAAAAAAAAGUACCAAGUUUAUCAAAAUUACGAAAUAAUUCGUUGAAACUCAUUCGCCACGAACAGAUGAAGAAAAUGGCAACAAAAAAAUUAAAUACCCAAUGUAAUGAGAUGAAUAUAUGAUGAGUAAAAAUCUCACUUACAAUUAGUUAUCAAUUGUUCCUGAUGCGAUUAGCUUGAACAUUUUAGCGUAUAUACAUUCCCACUUCUCUCACGGAC